rnacentral:tRNA from 1 species
GUCGGUAUCGAUUAGGGGUUAAAUCACUUCGUUGUGGUAAGAUCAUUCCGAAGAGCCGCUGGUUCGAUUCCAGCUACCGACA